GAGACAGCAAGACCAACCCCUCUUCCUCUUCCUCCUCAGUCUAUUCAACAUAAAGAUGAUGAAGAUAAAGACCUUUAUGAUGAUCUACUUCCACUUAAUGAAUACAUCCAUCCAGUAAUGUAAUGGUGGUUAACAGCCAGAGAAGGCAACCAAAACCUUCAGUCUUUGUUUUCUUCAGGAAUUCAGUGUCUUGCAUCAGGCAAACUCAAGUGAAAUGAAGUGCUUAAAUAAGAGAGAAGUGACACUAAUGAUGGUGAUAGAAGAAUGAAAAGCAAAUAAGAG